CUACUUGGAUAACUGUGGUAAUUCUAGAGCUAAUACAUGCACCAAAGCUCCGAUCCUCGCGGAGAGGAGCGCAUUUGUUCGCCACAAAACCAAGCGCCCAUCUGGGCGUCCAGUGCUGAACCAGAACAACUCAGCUGAUCGCACGGUCUUGUACCGGCGACGUGUCUUUCAAGUGUCUGCCUUAUCAACUUUCGAUGGUAGUGUACCUGACUACCAUGGUUGUGACGGGUAACGGAGGAUAAGGGUUCGACUCCGGAGAAGGGGCCUGAGAAAUGGCCACUACGUCUAAGGAUGGCAGCAGGCGCGCAAAUUACCCACUCUCAACGCGAGGAGGUAGUGACGAGAAAUAACGAGACCGUUCUCAUACGAGGCCGGUUAUUGGAAUGGGUACAAUUUAAA
rnacentral:rRNA from 1 species